rnacentral:rRNA from 1 species
AACGAACGCUGGCGGCAUGCCUAACACAUGCAAGUCGAACGAGACCUUCGGGUCUAGUGGCGCACGGGUGCGUAACGCGUGGGAACCUGCCCUUAGGUUCGGAAUAACUCCCCGAAAGGGGUGCUAAUACCGGAUAAUGUCUUCGGACCAAAGAUUUAUCGCCUUUGGAUGGGCCCGCGUUGGAUUAGCUAGUUGGUAGGGUAAAAGCCUACCAAGGCGACGAUCCAUAGCUGGUCUGAGAGGAUGAUCAGCCACACUGGGACUGAGACACGGCCCAGACUCCUACGGGAGGCAGCAGUGGGGAAUAUUGGACAGUGGGCGAAAGCCUGAUCCAGCACUGCCGCGUGAGUGAUGAAGGCCUGAGGGUUGUAAAGCUCUUUUACCCGGGAUGAUAAUGACAGUACCGGGAGAAUAAGCUCCGGCUAACUCCGUG